AGAUGAUGGACCAACCAAACAGGGGGAAUAGGGAUAGGACCCGCCCACUAAAUUGUCUCCUAACAGUAGCAUCUCUUAGCCACUGUGUGAGCCACAUUAUUCAAAGCCCAACAGACAAAGCGAAAAAGGACUUUUGAGAAACCAUGGCAGAGGUUCACAAUAUCUUGCACCACCAUUGCAACACUUUGAUCCACUAUCUGAUGCCCAGAAAGCAUGUUGAUAAUACUUUGAGAUUCCCCUUCAAGCGCAAUGGAAGUGAAACCUUUCUCCAAACUCAGUUGAACCGUUUCUCUAGCUACAAGUGCUUCUAUGAGAAUGGCUUUGUUAAUUCCUUGAAAUUUCCUUGACUAAAUGGCCAAAAUGUGACCAUUGUAGUCCAACCAUUCUCAAAUUGAUGAAGCAAAUUUGAUUUUGACAGGACAAAGAGGGAGGAGCCAAGUAAUGAAGUAAGGGUUUAUCAUUCUUCAUCUUUCAUACCAUCCUUAUCUACCAUCUACACCACAAAUUUGUUAUGAUUUCAUCUUCUGCGAUCAGGGUUCAUUAGGUGACAACAGCUUCUAGUCCUCUUGACAUGGUCCUUGUCAUCGAUACAAGAUGCCUCUCUUACUCAGGUAGGAGAUAUAGUUAUUCUAAAAAGUAUUGUUAGGCUAACAGAAACAGUUACAAUCGGAGUACUUAAAAGCAUAGACACAUCUGAAGAAGUAGAAGGGGAAGAACUAGGACCUGACUAGGAAGUACAUGUUCAAGUGCCAGUCAAACCUAAUGAGAGCUUCAUCCGAUCAUAUGGACUUGUAAAAACAGUUAGACAAGCCAUUGGAGUUCAUGUUGCUUGGUCUGCUCCAAUUAUCAUUUUGCAAGUUAUAGAUACUAGCCGAGAAUAUUUAUACAAGUGAGGUUGAGAAUUUGGGAACUGGUUUUAUUUUGAUAAUUUGUCUCUCUGGAAGAUGGAUAUCACUAUGGUUUUUCAGAACUUAUGAUUGGAAUAAUUUUCUUUUAAA